AUGCCAAACGCCGAGGUGGAAUCCCAAGGAGGAAAGUUCCGGAACGCUGUCAAUCUACCAGCCUGCCUGAAGCAACUGGCGGCCCUCUCUGCCCCCGCCCUCCCCAAGCCGCGGGAGGUGAGCCACCGCCGGCACCGGAGGAGGAAACUGAAGCCCAGAGAAACUGCGCGACGUGCCUCAGCUGACGAGCCGGAUCCCCGGGGCGUCAGACUCAAUACCAGACGCCGAGGUGGAAUCCCAAGGAGGAAAGUUCCGGAUCGCUGUCGAUCUACCAACAGUGGCGGGCGACCCCAGGCCAGCGAGGCCGUUGGGUGGCCGCUCAGAACCCUCCUUUCCUCGUGGACCUUCGACAGCCAAAUCAGGAGGCCCCGUGCGGUGGCCUGGAGGGCAAGUGCCAGACCUGCCCGGGGGCGGUGGUCCAGCCGCUCCGCUCUGACCGGCAGCCACUGGCCGGGGGGGCCCCCCCAUCAGGGACCGGGGCGGUGGGGGAGGAGGAGGAGGAGGAGGAAGGUGAUUAAACAAGCUGCCAGAUGAACUAAACAAAGGAUCUCUCAGGCUUAAUCUGGCUCCGGUGGCUUGUGCCGGCUUGUCCGCCAUCGCUCACGCACCUGGAGGUGCUCGGUGACCGUUACCCGACUCCGGGCCAGAAAGGGGGCGGGGCGGCCGGCCCCGCCUGGAAACCCGGUGCCCGAGACAAAGGAGAGGAAGCCGCUGGCCUUGGCUUCCAGGCCGGCCGGAUCCAGGAUGUCCUCGGUUAUUUACGGCUGAAAUGGGUCGGGGCCCGAGCGCGGGCCGCGUCGUCACCAGCCGACCCGGGUCCGAGUUUGGCUUCCUGGGCAGGGGAGGGGGCCGACAUCGUCAGAUCGGCGGGCCGAGAGGCUACCGGGCCCAGCAGCCCCCGCCGCCGGAGAGGCGGCUCAGGGAAUACAGAGCUGCGAUUUUCUUAUUUAUAUUAAUAUCUGUCUCCCCUCUAGACCGUAAGCUCGUCGUGAGCAGGGAGUGGAUCUGUUUAUUGUUCUUUUGUACUCUCCCAAGCGCCUAGUACGGUGCUCUGCACACGGUAAGCACUCAAGAAAUACAACUGAAUGGAUAAACGAAUGCCAGUCGCACUGCCCGUGGUCCCAAGAUCCUCCCCUGCCUUGAAGAGUCGGGUCUGGCCGGCGAGGGGGGCCGGGCCCCACGUAGAGCCCGGCUCCGGACAAGCGUCCCAAACCGCCCGGGAGUCCGGAGGGCGUAGGACAGCCGGGCCCGGAGGCUUUAUCCUCCUCCACGUGCCCCCCGGGGGUCCCCGAAAUCGGCUCACCCGGGUCUCUGCCGCGGCUCCCGACCCCAGGGCCCCGUCUGAUCUGACUUCCCGCUUCCUGCUGCUGAUGUAAACCACAUGCUUCCUCUCAAACUUCUUUACGCUUGGACUUGGGGAAUGUGUUCAACGCUGCUCCGGGGACAGGCCCGCCACAAAGAUUUUUCAACUUGCCGCUAUCUCACUCUCUGGAUUUUAAAAAAAAAUCUACUCAAAUGAAGCCACCUCCCUGCACCUCGUCGCUAGGGAGGGAAACCCUGACGUGCCUGUGCAAACACGGCUCGGGACUCUGCGGCCAACUCCUAGGAAGCGGAGGAUUAGCCGUCCUUUCGGCGCUCCGGCGGUUCUCGCCGACUUGAGGGGGGAGAGGAUCUUGGCUGAAGCGAGGAUGCCCGGUGAGGGGGAGACGGCGGGGGGAUGUGUGUGUCGGGGGCAGAUAGCCUUGACGCGUCCUUCUAGAUUAAACAAGCACAACCACCCACGGAACUGAAGCGGCCUCCCUGUCCUCACUGAGGUCGGCAAUCAGCUUAGCGUUUACAUCGAGGAGGGGACUGGCUGUCUCAAGGACCUCCUCGGCUCUUUCCCUGCCACCCACAAAGACACCGUUUUGGCGUAGGGAGCCCUUCAACUUCCCCUCCUCGCCUUUUAACCGUUGAUCUCUCGCCUUUCUGACACCGACCCCCUUUCCCGGUCCGUACGACGCCUCCCUUGGCCUACGCCUGCGGUGGCACCGUCCACCCAAGGUUGCCACUUUCUGGCACCCCGACUGGUUUCUCUUUGGGUUCCCGGUCCCGGCGGGGGCCUGUCAAAUGGGCAGGGCCGGGCUGCCCGGGGUCUCGGGGAGGUAAGACCGCCCGGACAAAGCACCGCUUUGCCUCCGCUUAUCAGUUGGUGGAGGAAGACUCCCUGAUGCAUCUUAGAGAGGCUGUUUUCUAAGGGCAAAGUCUGAUCUUGAAAGAUGAUAAGCUGAGAGAGGUUAUAAGGAAGCAACUCACCAGGAUUGGAGGAACCGGUCACCCACUACAGUGGAAGUAACUAGAGGAAAAAGAAAGUUCUCCCAAAAUUCGAGUUGCCUUGCGGGGAUGGGGGAAGAGAGGGGGGGAAAGCCAUCCACACCCACUUGAGGAGAAAGGGCCGACGUGGACGGCAAACUUGGUGCCGCGGGUGGGGAGGAUGUGUCCGAGGUCCCUUCCGGCGGGCGUGAGUGUCACCCGGAGAAUCUCGGGCACACCAGGCCCAGGAAAAUGCCGUUGGGACCCUUUCUGGCCCCGCCGAUGCCCUUUGGAACGAGCCUCCUUCAGCCACCGACGGAAAAGGAGGAAAAAUACGGAUGGCCACCUGCGGGACACGGGUUGAGCCGUACCACGGCAGCCAAAGAUGCGUGCAUCGAGGGCAGUCGGGCCUUUUAAACCCGUUCUCGACCACCGGAGAAAGAUGGGAAGAGACGCCCGGGGAGAGCCAAACGCAAGGGAAAAUGGCACGGGCGCUAGCUGGGAUCAGAACCCGGUGAAAAGAGGGGUCAGAACAAGUUCCCAAGUAAAGUGGGGGGAAACACGAGAACCAAACUGAGGCAGAUGGUUGUGCACAAGAAAGAAGGGCAUCAAGAAAAUGGGAGGAGGCCAGAUGGGCCUGGACCUGACGGCUCGGAGACGUUACUAACAGAGGAGGAAGUCUCUGCCAGCAUAUUUUUGCAUGAAUUCCUUACCCUUGAGCUCAGAGUGCUGAGACGCCUAUGCCCCGAACCAGAAGCGAAGGUCUUUUUUUGGUCAAACCCGCGCCCCAUUCCUCUCCCACUCCAGUCAGGAAGCUAGAAUGUGCCACACGGUUGGAGGGGUGGGGGUCGGGGCGGGGGGAACGCUUCAAAUACUCACGGUGUCGUUUCAGGCUGAUGGUCCCCACUUGCUUCUUCUCCGGACGUUUGGCUCCCGGGUCACCGCAGAUCCAACCGCAUGCAGUAGUGGGUGGCGGGGAGGGGAGGGGAUUAGCAGCGCUGUUGAGCACCCACUGGGUGCAAGGAACCAGACUGAGCAAGCCCUGGAGAGGAGAUGACACGGAGAAGUGACGUGUGGCCUACUCACAGGACGCUUACCCUCGACUGGGCCAAUAAUAACGAGAAUAUUU
rnacentral:lncRNA from 1 species